GCCCUUGGAGGCCAACCUGCAAGCUGCCAUCCAGUGUGCAUACUGUUUCUCCUGAGGAAAAGAAAUGCUGAGCAUGAAAGCUAUCAGGAAUGAAGUUCCCAGCUUCCUGCCACCACAGCGGACAAAGCUACUUGCCAUCACGUUGACGGGGCGGAAGAGGCAGCUGCCUCCUACUGCUCAGGGCUCUCUGUCCACACGGAAUGCAUGUUGCAUCUAGCUCCACCACAGAGAUCUCCACUGUGACAUUUCCAUCAGCAUGCAGCUUCCUUGAGUAUCUCCCCUCUUAAACCACAAGCUCCUUUCACCUAAUCUGCUUAUCCCCUAAAAUGGGUACUCUGGCCUCAGCCUUCUAUUACAGACAGCCCACUCACUCAGUGGCUAUACACAUUUUACUAAUGCUGUUACCAAAUUAUCUGUAGCAGAGAGCUUCCCUCAGAACCAGUGACUCAGAUAACAAUAUCCAAGGAGAUACACCACAGAAACUUCAAUUUUAAAAUAUCCAAAGUUAAACAUCACCUUCCUACCCAAACCCAGGUCUCCCAGUGUCAUCCUUCCUUUGGCCUCUCUACCAACACCCAAUCUUUUGAUUAAACUUCCUCAGUAUCUAUUGUAUUCCCACCCUUUUCUCCAGCCCUCUGAAACCCAAUCUGGAUCACUAUUACUGCUCUUACAUGGAUCCUGUAGUUUUCACAGUAAUAAUGUUUCAGUGGUUUAUCACUGUUGUCAGUUGAAAAAGUAAAGUUCUUAAAUUUUUA